ensembl:lncRNA
ACUGAAUGAGAUUAGAGACACACAGGUAUUGCAGGUACAGGAUCCCAGACUCGGAAUCUGGCUUCUGGACCGAAGAGAUUUGGGGCAUUGAACAAACCCCUUCAACUUUCUGAGCCUCACUUUCCUCAUCUCUAAAAGUCUGGGGGUAAUGCUUAGUUGGCAGGAUGAUUAUUAACCUCAGAAGAGAUCAGAUUACAAGUGUCUGGCACAGUGUUGUUUAGUUAGGAUGCAUGUGGCUGCCAGAAACAAAAUACUCAACUAAAAGUGACUUCAACGCAAAGGGUUGAUUUUUCUCGAAGAACAGUAACACAGAGGAGGGAUUCCCUGGGUUGGUGCAGGAGCGGAAUGGCAUCGGAGCUCCAGCUCAGUUUCUCUGUGAUUCUCCUGGCUGCAGUAGCUCCAGGCAUCCUGUCCUUCUUCGACAAUGUCCAAAGCAGAAAAAUGGACACAUAUCUUUGCAUGUCUCUCGUCAGGAAAAGUUCAUCCCAGGAGGCCCAGUAACGUUCCUCAGCCUGAAUUGUAUCACAUGACUCUGUCUAGGCUUCAGGCGAAACUGGAAAAAUCUAGAAGAUGCCAAUUAAUCUCGAAGUUGUAUAAAGCAGGAGAGGGUGAGACUGAUUAUAUAAAAGAAUACACCUAAAAUUAUGCUAAGUUUUUUCUCUGCUUGGCAAAAUUAUCAUAGUAGGUGUCUGGCAUUAGUUUCCUACACCUCGUCACAGACAAGCACCAAAGGAAUCCCCAAACAGCCAGACAGGUUUUGGGCACCUAGGCUGAGCAGGACAUUGUCCUGGCCCUGGGAAUACAGCAGAGAAGUGGCUGGAGAAACAGUCCCUGCACUCAUGGAGUUCCCAAUCAACCAAGGAGACAAAAUGUUUAAACAUCAUAUUUAACAAGACAAAGAUAUUCCCUGUAAAAAAGUGAAAUAACACAAGGAAAAAAUUAUUAAGCUGUUAAGCAACAAAGCUGACAGAAUCGAGGAAUCAAAGUUGAAAAGAGAAGGGAAGUGGACAUUUUACAAAUCCACAAACUGGAUAAUCCAUUCCAAAUACAAAAAGAAGCAUCAUUUGUUUCUAAUAAACAGUUUCUAGAUUACAUAUUCUUAUUUAUAAUCUAAUCUUGUUAAAAAUUUUAUUCUACUU